AUGAAAUAAUAGACUCAAAAGGUUUCCCAAGA
rnacentral:piRNA from 1 species